GACGAACGCUGGCGGCGUGCUUAACACAUGCAAGUCGAACGGAAAGGCCCUGCUUUUGUGGGGUGCUCGAGUGGCGAACGGGUGAGUAACACGUGUGUAACCUGCCCUUGACUUUGGGAUAACUUCAGGAAACUGGGGCUAAUACCGGAUAGGAGCUCCUGCUGCACGGUGGGGGUUGGAAAGUUUCGGCGGUGGGGGCUGGACUCGCGGCUUAUCAGCUUGUUGGUGGGGUAGUGGCUUACCAAGGUUUCGACGGGUAGCCGGCCUGAGAGGGUGACCGGCCACAUUGGGCCUGAGGUACGGCCCAGACUCCUACGGGAGGCAGCAGUCGGGAAUAUUGCACAAUGGGCGGAAGCCUGAUGCAGCAACGCCGCGUGCGGGAUGACGGCCUUCGGGUUGUAAACCGCUUUCGCCUGUGACGAAGCGUGAGUGACGGUAAUGGGUAAAGAAGCACCGGCUAACUACGUG
rnacentral:rRNA from 1 species